rnacentral:rRNA from 1 species
UACGUAGGGUGCAAGCGUUGUCCGGAAUUAUUGGGCGUAAAGAGCUCGUAGGCGGUUUGUCGCGUCUGCUGUGAAAAUCCAGGGCUUAACCCUGGACCUGCAGUGGGUACGGGCAGACUGGAGUGCGGUAGGGGAGAUCGGAAUUCCUGGUGUAGCGGUGAAAUGCGCAGAUAUCAGGAGGAACACCGGUGGCGAAGGCGGAUCUCUGGGCCGGAACUGACGCUGAGGAGCGAAAGCGUGGGGAGCAAACAGG